ACGGGAGGGGCAAGCGUUACCCACCAUGACUGGGCGUAAAGAGUCCGUAGACUGUAAAGUAAGUUACUUGUUAAACUUUAAAGCCUAACUUUAAAUUAGCUUGUAAUACUGCUUUACUUUGAGUUUUAUACAGAAGAGUAGAAUUUUAUAUGGAAGGGUAAAAUCUAAAAAUAAAUAAAGGAAUAUCAGUAGCGAAGGCGACUCUUUGGUAAAAACUGACGUUGAGGGACGAAAGUGUAGGUAGCAAACAGGAUUAGAUACCCUGGUAGUCUACACUGUAAACUAUGAGUGCUGUAAUUUAAUGUAAAAGUUAAAAACUUUUAUUUAGAUUUUUUAAGCUAACGCCAUAAGCACUCCGCCUGAGAAGUACGAUCGCAAGGUUG
rnacentral:rRNA from 1 species